rnacentral:tRNA from 1 species
GGAGGGAAAGGAGCUGGCGCUCCCCGCGGACCGCAAAUCCGUAGGCCGCGACCCCUAACGGGCAGGGGUGGGUUCGAUUCCCACUUCCCUCC